rnacentral:rRNA from 1 species
UGUACAGGUGGUAACAUCACAGCCGAGCGUUACUAAUUGCCCGAUGACUUUCUUUUA